AGCUUUUCGUGUCCGUGCUGAGAUUUCGUCUGAUACCAACCCAUUAGGGCUGAUCAGACUUCCAACAUAAAUGAAGUU
rfam:Schistosoma curassoni strain Dakar, Senegal genome assembly, scaffold: SCTD_contig0022960